rnacentral:tmRNA from 1 species
GGGCUUGUACUGGUUUCGACGGGGGUUUUGAAGUCAAGGAAGCCAUCCGCGGGCCGGACCGCGUUAAAACCGGAACUUAAAAUUAAACGCUAACGAUAAUACAUUAGCAGUCGCAGCCUGAGUGCUGCGUCCGUCGGCCCGGUUGUACCCGUACUCCCGGUAACCGGCGUCAAAAUUACGGGAAACGAUCAGCGCAAAGCUUUGAGCGCUGAGGCGUAAAAUGAAGCUACCAAACAUGUGAGGAAGUCUCCUGCCGCGCAUGUGAGGGAAUGCAAAAGGGGAGACUGUGAUGGGAGAUGCUUUGAGGGAUAGGCUUUCGGACGCGGGUUCGAUUCCCGCCAGGUCCAU